rnacentral:rRNA from 1 species
AACGAACGCUGGCGGCAGGCCUAACACAUGCAAGUCGAGCGAGACCUUCGGGUCUAGCGGCGGACGGGUGAGUAACGCGUGGGAAUAUGCCCUUCUCUACGGAAUAGCCUCGGGAAACUGAGAGUAAUACCGUAUACGCCCUUCGGGGGAAAGAUUUAUCGGAGAAGGAUUAGCCCGCGUUGGAUUAGGUAGUUGGUGGGGUAAUGGCCUACCAAGCCGACGAUCCAUAGCUGGUUUGAGAGGAUGAUCAGCCACACUGGGACUGAGACACGGCCCAGACUCCUACGGGAGGCAGCAGUGGGGAAUCUUAGACAAUGGGCGCAAGCCUGAUCUAGCCAUGCCGCGUGAUUGAUGAAGGCCUUAGGGUUGUAAAGAUCUUUCAGCUGGGAAGAUAAUGACGGUACCAGCAGAAGAAGCCCCGGCUAACUCCGUGCCAGCAGCCGCGGUAA